AGCGUGGGAAGACUCCAGAAUCCACUCUGGCUGGAAUCCGGUGGAUACAGCAGUGUUACAGGUACAGUACGUGAUAUUAAGGGCAGGCGGUCAUCACUGGGGGAAGACAAGAAGCAGACGUACUUCCAAGAGGGAGCUGCAGUGAGGACACAGCCUGGUCACUGAGGUCAGAGGAGGCGCUGGAAGGUUUCCCUAAUAGUUCCUGGUGAAUCAAAGCAGAACCAUAAAGGUUGCUGGACUGCAUGAUGGCCUUACCCCUGAGCAGUCAUCCUGUUAAAGGAGGAACCAGUUAGAAGCUGUUUUCAAAGUAGCUGAGCAGAUUUCACCUCAAACAAAGUCGAUGGCAGAAGAUGUUUGGAGAAGAACUUCAGGCCGUGUACUGACAAGUAGAUCAAAGCAGCUCGUGCUCUGUCUGCUUCCAUUCUGAUGGCAAGAAGAAGAAGAAGAAGGAGACUUCAGCGAAGUAGCAUUCAUGGUCUCAGUGGACAGUCAUGGUCACACACUGCAUGUGGUUAUAAAAGCAACAUUGUUCACCACAACAAUGGAGAUGUGUAAUAUUAGUGCAGCUACAGUUUGUUCUUGAACAUCAGUUCUGUUUUCUACUUUGACCACUUAGACCAAAAAAGUGUUGUUUUCAGAUUCUUUCUUUUAAAUCUAUAAAGC